AGGCAAUGGAUUUUUAAGUCAUGCCGUGAAUCUUUACCUUCGAUGUGCGUAGAAUCUCUCUACUGUUAUUUUGUUCUAUUUAUGACAUGGGUGAUCCAACCAUAGCGCAAUCCUGCAUUCAAUGAAUUAAAUGUAGUUCCAGUUAUACACUAAAUGUAGUAUAUAUUAUGUGUCACACAGACACUACUUUUGAUACUUUGGACUGAUUGGAGGUAAAUCCUAGUCCUUGAUUCUUACUGGCAUGUUUCAUCUAGACACUUCUCCUUCUUGGCCUAAGAUCUUAAAAUUCAGCCUUACUGCUGUUUUAUGGUUGUUUGGCCUAGUCAGUUGUGUUUGGCUACAAACAAUUGCUUAAAAAGUUGAUGAACUGUUGCAGAUCUUACAGAAAAUAAUACUUUCAGAUAUUUGGAUAAAUUUGUGCUUGGAGACGAUAGUCUUUUAGAAUAUUUUUUUCCUUCUAGGAUUUAGCCAAUUUCCAAUGCAUUAUGACCUGAAAAAAUUGUUGCAUAUAACUUUCAUCAUAUCUUUUAUUUUGCGGUGCUAUUAGUUUGAUGUUUAAUGAAAUCUUGCAGACAAGCCACCCAUAGAGGAACUCCAUCAGUUUCUAGAGUUUCAGUUACCUCGGCAGU
rnacentral:misc_RNA from 1 species